rnacentral:lncRNA from 1 species
AGACCCUUUAUUAAAGUACGUAAUAUGUACUAGAGUCUAGAAAAAAUUGUAAGAUCAAAUUUGAGUAAUUCGACAUACCUUUCAAAGGCAUCUCAAUAUUUUUUUAGGCUUUUCAAGUAUGUACCUUUAAACUUUUUAAAGUUUCUUAGUUACCAACAUAUUAACCAAUUUAGUUAAGAUGCUAUAAUAUUUAUUCAUAUAAUAGUUUCAUAA